GCGAGAGUGGCGGAAUUGGCAAACGCACUGGACUUAGGAUCCAGCGCCCUCGGGCUUGGGGGUUCGACUCCCCCCUCUCGCACCA
rnacentral:tRNA from 2 species